AUAUACAGCAUGCCCACACAUAACAGCUUUUUAUAGCAGGAUCAUUAUACAGGGAUAUUGCACAAGGUGUUUCCACGGGUAUUUAUAUAGAUGGAUAUUUAUAUAUAUACAGUUAUUGCUCUGGGUGUCAGAUAUAGAGAAACAGGUUAUUGUAUUAAAUAGUAAUUAUUCUCCAUAGCAGCAGUUAUUGUGGUUGUAGCGUCUCAUUGUAGAGUCUGGUUGCAGCAGGGAUGAAUGACCUGCAGUAGUGCUCCUUUUUCCAACCAGCCUAGGACAGAAACGGCCUUCCUCACCAGUUUGUUAAGUCUUUUUCUGUCCCACUCUGCGCUGCCAGGGGCCCAGCAGACGAUAGCGUAGAGGAGGACUGAUGCCUCCACAGAGUCAGAGAAGGUUUGAAGCAGCGACCUGCUCACUGCAGAGGAGCUCAGCCUCCUCAGGAGGUGGAGGGAGGCUCUGGCCCUUCUUAGUCCAGUUUAUUAUUGACGUGAACGCCCAGGGAUUUGAAACAUAUUUUUCCUUUAUUUUCCCCCAAUAAUCCUUCUUUGAUGACCUCCAUGGCUUAAAAAUAUAACUAAGGAUAUGUAAUAUUAGAAGUAAUGAACGUGUAUAACUAGCUGUGACUCAUCUACUGUUAUUUCUGCUCAAUAUUAAAGUGUUUUAUCUUCUUCUAUCCCUUCCGUUGCUGCUGCCUCCUCCUUAAACUGAAUUCCCAAAUGCAGUGAGAACAAAGAAUGAAGUCUUGGUAUCGGCUGAUAAGACACCCCCACACAGUUCUGUUACAGAUCUGUGCUUUCUUCUCACUACACAAAGAGCACUUGGAGCGAUAACCAGUUCGUCUGAUUGUUGCUCAGAUGUCUGACAGGCAGCAAACUGUUUUAGCUUAGCUGUUUACUUCAGGUACUCAUUGUGUCGCGUCUGAGGCAGCGGCUCUCAGGAGCCAACAGGUGCAGAGCUGAACCUGUUGGCAGCGGGUCACUUGUAAAGCGGCAGACAGCGGAACGGCAGAGGGAUGAUAAAACCCAGAGCAGCGGGUUUCCUGUUGACAGGCCGGCCUCUUCCUCACAGACAAUCAGGUUGUACUUCUGAUGGUGAACACCGCAUCCUUUCAGGUUUACUGUUCUGAGACAGCAGCCAAACACAAGCAAACGGUUCACUUAAACUGGAGACUUUUUCUUUAGCAUGAUGUCAUCUUCUCUAGGAAACAAUCUGUGGAGUUAAACCUUUUCAGCUUUAUUUCUGCCUUUAAAAUAAAACACAGAAAUGUCUCCAAAGUCGUAGAGCUGAGUCAGCAACUUUAUUGCUAAUCUAUGCUCCACUAU